UCUAUUGAAAAUAACAUGGAAUACAAUGAGCUACAAUAUAUGAAAAACCAUAAGCGUCGUAUUUUAGUCGAAAAUGACCAUAUCGUAAAGCGAAUGUAAAAUAAUAUAAAACGCGAGCAUUCACGAUAUUUUCUGUUGGCAGGAAAGAAUAAAUUGAUUCUAUAUGCCAUGCAGUUACAUUACUGAAGAAACGGAUUGCGCGUGAUACAAAAGCAUAAAGGAAUAUCCACGAUAGAUAGAAUCCAAAUCAGAUUUACUAUCAAAUAUUCUUUUAUAGGUCAAUGGAUAAAUAGAAUCAAAAGGGAAAGAACAGCAACAAAACUGAGAUCCCUAUAUAAGUUUCAACGAUAUACGCUUUGAAAGAAAAAAAAACCGAUUUUUUCUUCAUAGGAGUCCCAGAGGAUUAAGAUGUUAUUUGAGACGGUCUUGAAAUAAGAAAAGACUAUGAUACUGGCCUGUGAUUGAUUGAUAACAUCUUAAGAUGGUACUUAGGACGAUCUUAAAUAUAAAACUUAACCAUGAAUACCAGAUUAUGUAUCGUGAACUAUUUAUAUUGUAUUUUGUUGGGUGAUUAAAGAGCCUUUCUUCUUAAUAAAGA